AGUAAAUUGGUUAAGUUAGAAAGGGCGCACGGUGGAUGCCUUGGCACUAGGAGCCGAAGAAGGACGGGACUAACACCGAUAUGCUUUGGGGAGCUGUACGUAAGCGUUGAUCCAGAGAUUUCCGAAUGGGGGAACCCACUAUCUUUAGUCGGAUAGUAUCCUUACGUGAAUACAUAGCGUGAGGAAGGCAGACCCAGGGAACUGAAACAUCUAAGUACCUGGAGGAAGAGAAAGAAAAAUCGAUUUCCUGAGUAGCGGCGAGCGAAACGGAAAGAGCCCAAACCAAGAAGCUUGCUUCUUGGGGUUGUAGGACACUCUAUACGGAGUUACAAAAGAAAGUUAUAAAUGAAGCGGUCUGGAAAGGCCCGCCAAAGACGGUAACAGCCCGGUAGUUGAAAUGGCUUUCCCUCCAGAGUGGAUCCUGAGUACGGCGGAACACGUGAAAUUCCGUCGGAAUCCGGGAGGACCAUCUCCCAAGGCUAAAUACUCCCUAGUGACCGAUAGUGAACCAGUACCGUGAGGGAAAGGUGAAAAGCACCCCGGAAGGGGAG
rnacentral:rRNA from 1 species